GGGAUUGUGGCUCAGCAGUAGAGCUCUUGCCUAGCACGUGGGAGACCCUGGGUUCGAUUCUCAGCACCA
rnacentral:tRNA from 1 species